CUCAGGUUUUUCAUAGCAUACUACUAGACCAAGUAGGUAUCCUUGACCGUCUUUCUUUUUCAGACCAAGGCAGUGAAACAAGUGUUCUGGCACAAAUGUAUGUGGCUACAAAAGCAACUAUUUGACAGCUUGUGCUCUAUGUCAAAGGACACAUCUUUGCUGCUGAAGACAGUUGAAAAUACUCAUUUAAAUACUUGCAACAGUGUGAAGGCUGAAGUCAACAAAAUUAACUUUUCUAACAAUUUUGGAGCCUGUUAGAUUAUAGAAGCCUGGAAAUGAAAUGUUGAAUUGAAAUUGAAAUGUGUACUAGAAAAGAAAGAAAAGAUUAUUGUGUGAAUCAUUCUGUUGUCCUUUUCUUUUAUUUGUGUAAUUAUCUAGCAUAUAAUACAAGUAGAUUACAUA